rnacentral:rRNA from 1 species
UACGAAGGGGGCUAGCGUUGUUCGGAAUUACUGGGCGUAAAGGGCGUGUAGGCGGCCCGUUAAGACAGGUGUGAAAUUCCUGGGCUCAACCCAGGACGUGCGCCUGUGACUGGCGGGCUUGAGUCCGGGAGAGGAUGGUGGAACUCCCAGUGUAGAGGUGAAAUUCGUAGAUAUUGGGAAGAACACCCGUGGCGAAGGCGGCCAUCUGGACCGGUACUGACGCUAAGGCGCGACAGCGUGGGGAGCAAACAGGAUUAGAUACCCCGUGUAGUCC